CGGGAAGCCAGCCUCAAGAUUAGAUAUCGCGUGGGGGUAACCCCCCUGAAGGAUCCUUGAAGACUACAAGGUUGAUAGGUCACAGAUACAAGUGUGGUAACACAUUCAGUCGAGUGAUACUAAUAAUCCGUGCGGCUUGAUACU
rnacentral:rRNA from 1 species